rnacentral:rRNA from 1 species
UACGAACUGUGCGAACGUUAUUCGGAAUCACUGGGCUUACAGGGUGCGUAGGCGGCUUGUUAAGUAGGGUGUGAAAAGCCCCCCGGCUCAACCGGGGAAUUGCGCCCCUAAACUGGCGGGGCUGGAGUGAGAUAGGGGUGUGUGGAACUUCCGGUGGAGCGGUGAAAUGUGUUGAUAUCGGAAGGAACGCCGGUGGCGAAAGCGACACACUGGAUCUUGUCUGACGCUGAGGCACGAAAGCCAGGGGAGCGAACGGGG